GCCAGUGUGGUGUAGUGGUUUGAACAUUGGAGUAUGACUCUGGAGACCUGGGUUCGAAUCCCUGCUUGGCCA
rnacentral:tRNA from 1 species